UACGUAGGUGCCAAGCGUUGUCCGGAUUUACUGGGCGUAACGAGCGCGCAGGCGGUCGAUCAAGUCGAGUGUGAAAGCCCCCGGCUCAACUGGGGAGGGUCAUUCGAUACUGAUCGACUCGAAGGCAGGAGAGGGUAGUGGAAUUCCCGGUGUAGUGGUGAAAUGCGUAGAUAUCGGGAGAAACACCAGUGGCGAAGGCGACUACCUGGCCUGUUCUUGACGCUGAGGCGCGAAAGCUAGGGGAGCAAACGGG
rnacentral:rRNA from 1 species